AACGAACGCUGGCGGCAUGCCUAACACAUGCAAGUCGAACGAGACCUUCGGGUCUAGUGGCGCACGGGUGCGUAACGCGUGGGAACCUGCCCUUAGGUUCGGAAUAACUCCCCGCAAGGGGUGCUAAUACCGGAUAAUGUCUUCGGACCAAAGAUUUAUCGCCUUUGGAUGGGCCCGCGUUGGAUUAGCUAGUUGGUGGGGUAAAAGCCUACCAAGGCGACGAUCCAUAGCUGGUCUGAGAGGAUGAUCAGCCACACUGGGACUGAGACACGGCCCAGACUCCUACGGGAGGAAGAAGUGGGGAAUAUUGGACAAUGGGCGAAAGACUGAGCCAGCAAUGCCGCGUGAGUGAUGAAGGCCUUAGGGUUGUAAAGCUCUUUUACCCGGGAUGAUAAUGACAGUACCGUGAGAAUAAGCUCCGGCUAACUCCGUG
rnacentral:rRNA from 1 species